rnacentral:tRNA from 1 species
GCCCGCGUAGGGGAGCGUCGUCCGUGUCCACUGCGGCUGGGUGGCCGGGUUCUUCACCGGUACGAGCCCGGUCUCGGACAC